UAGUGGCGAACGGGUGAGUAACACGUGGGCAAUCUGCCCUUCACUCUGGGACAAGCCCUGGAAACGGGGUCUAAUACCGGAUAACACUCUUCNCUGCAUGGGGGAGGGUUGAAAGCUCCGGCGGUGGAGGAUGAGCCCGCGGCCUAUCAGCUUGUUGGUGGGGUGAUGGCCUACCAAGGCGACGACGGGUAGCCGGCCUGAGAGGGCGACCGGCCACACUGGGACUGAGACACGGCCCAGACUCCUACGGGAGGCAGCAGUGGGGAAUAUUGCACAAUGGGCGGAAGCCUGAUGCAGCGACGCCGCGUGAGGGAUGACGGCCUUCGGGUUGUAAACCUCUUUCAGCAGGGAAGAAGCGUGAGUGACGGUACCUGCAGAAGAAGCGCCGGCUAACUACGUGCCAGCAGCCGCGGUAAUACGUAGGGCGCAAGCGUUGUCCGGAAUUAUUGGGCGUAAAGAGCUCGUAGGCGGCUUGUCGCGUCGGAUGUGAAAGCCCGGGGCUCAACCCCGGGUCUGCAUUCGAUACGGGCAGGCUGGAGUGUGGUAGGGGAGAUCGGAAUUCCU
rnacentral:rRNA from 2 species